UCGACCUUCGCCCCUCCCGAGUCCGUACGGGAGUUGCAACGAUGGGACAAGACUGGAACUACUACCAAUUGGAUUUCACUAAAUUGGAGAGCGAACGGAAUUUUAAAAAAUAAGAUUUUUAAUUUUUUUAUUCCAUGGGAGAGAAACUGUGAAUUUAAUUAUCUGCAGUUGACAUAGCUAAGUAAAUGGAAGAAUACUCUUAUUGCAAUGUGGGUGGCUCUUAAAAUAGUAUUUGGUUGUGCAUAGUGUAGUCUUCGGCACAAGGUGUUGCCAGGGAACAGCACCCUCUUAGAUGUAGGAGGUGACGAUCUGCAACACGGAUUGGCUCCCGUGCUGAGGUGAAGAGCUCAGAAGUCCCUGCCCUAUCCAGAGGUCCCUGCCCUAUCCAGAGGUCCCUGCCCUAUCCAGAGGUCCCUGCCCUAUCCAGAGGUCCCUGCCCUAUCCAGAGGUCCCUGCCCUAUCCAGAAGUCCCUGCCCUAUCCAGAAGUCCCUGCCCUAUCCAGAAGUCCCUGCCCUAUCCAGAAGUCCCUGCCCUAUCCAGAAGUCCCUGCCCUAUCCAGAAUAGCCUUCUCUCUAGAUCUUUGACAGCUGGAUCUGCUAUCCUUUCACCCUCCUCCAUGGCCAUAAAUUCAUUAAACUAUUUACCCAUUU